AGGUUGGUGCAAAAAUAGUUAUGUUUUUUGUCAUUAAUUUCUAUGACAAAAACCACAAUUACUUUUGCACCAA
rnacentral:miRNA from 1 species